rnacentral:tRNA from 1 species
GAGGGUGUAGCUCAGUGGUAGAGCACAUGCUUAGCAUACACAAGGUCCUGGGUUCAAUCCCUGGGUCCCUCU